rnacentral:lncRNA from 1 species
AGAAAAAUUGCCUAUUUCUAAGCCAUCAAUGAAUUAAUAUCAGUAGGAAAGGAAAGCGUGGUCUAACCAUUUAAAAAAGAAAAAAGAAAAAAAAAAAAGGAAGGUUCUGUUAAUAGUAGUAUAUUGAAUUUAUUUAGAGCAAUCAACUAAGCACACCAAUAAUUAUAAUUCCAAAUUAAUUAUUAUUAUUAAUUAAUGAAUAUAUAAAUCUAGCCAAUGGUUAUCCAAGCUUAUCUUGAUCUUAUCAAGACACCCUUUACCAGCUCUCACUCAAAAGAGACUUAUUAAGGUUUGGUCUCAUUGAUGAUGCAAGUACCGCAGUGUCAAUGCAUAGAUUCUAGGGUUUAUAACAAAGACAAGAAGAAGCAUGUUUUCUUCAGCUUAAAGAUCUGAGUCCAUUUGUUGAUUUAUUAAGAUAUUAAUUAAUUCUAGUUAUAAUAUGUAUUUGUGGGAGUGAAGCUUUUUUAAAUUUAGAUAGUUUCUUCUUGUUAUUUCUUCGUAGGUGCGGUUCCUGUGGCUUCGUUCAUUAUUAUAAUCUUUGAGAAAAUAUUAAAGUAGGAAACCGAGGUCAAUCAAUGGUACUUGUUUUAUAAAGGUUUGAAUUUCUGCAAGCCACUCUUUUUGGUUUUAUCUUCUUUUCUUGUUUAAAUAAUUUUUUUAAUUUUCUUGCUUUUGAGUUUUUUUUAGUAUUUUAUGUACUGUAGCCAGCCCACUUGUCACGAUUAGGGUUUGAUAAUAAUGGUGAUCAUUAUUUUUUAAAUAAUAAAGAGAUGUUGGCCAUUUUGUGAGUUGGGAAAUCUUUGUUUGAUCGAGCUGCACUUUUUUUUUCUUUAGUUUACUUUAUUUUUUAUUAUUAAUAAGGAACUGUGUAAUUGAUUUGAUCAAGCUGUUGGGGUUAUAGCGUUUCAGCUUAAAUGACAAUGUCAAGAUUAACGAACUUAAUGUUAGUACUUAUUUUGGUACUUGUUUUCAGCAAAUAAAAAAAGACAUUUUGGCUCUUAAAGAUUUGUUUUAGUUCAUUAUUGGGAAAAAUUUAAAGGAAGAUAGAAUUAACUAUAACAACCGUAUAAGUGAAAAAAUACAACUAACAUUAUAAAGCAUGUAGUGUUAUAGUUCAUGUUGUCUUCCUUUAGUAUCUAUCUAUACACAUACACACUUGUUUCUCCAUAUUUCUUUAGUAACCCCAAUAUUUUUAUAGUUGACACCUGAGUGAGUGGUUUCUCCAUUGCUUCUUUCAUGAAAUCAACUUCGCUACUACCAUAUCAUGUAAAUCUCAAAAACUAUCAUAUGACUAAAUUAAAAAAAAAAAAAAUUUAACAAAUAGAGGUCUGUGUGUUCAUUCCUGAAACUUUUAGUGUCUUUUUUUUUCAUUUUCACACAUCAAACCUUAAGUAAAAUAAUCAGUUGCCAUGAAAUUGUAGCUAUAUGUACUUCUUAUCUCCUCUUCUGCUCCGUGCUAGACAUGUGAUAAUGACCAUUUCUUGUGCCUUAUUUUUUUUUUUCAAUAGGGCACAUAUAGCUGUUGAAAUUAAGAAUAAAAUCAUAUAUAAAAUAAGUACUACAACUUUGUUUUCAUUUAAAAUAACAUAUAUGCAGAUACAGAUUGUUCAUUUGAAGAAGAAGCUUAAUCAUAAAUAAUUACUUGUUCUUCAGCUGGGUGGAUAAAUGAAACCCUCAUCAAUUAACCUGAGAUGGCAAAGCCUGCUGAACAAGCCUGGAUUGAGUUGUAAAUAGAUAUCAAAUCUUAUAGUUUUUGUUUUCUGAAUUAAAGAAUAAAAGACCUAGAAAUGAGAUGCAUUCAUGCAACAGAAAAUAUAAGGUAAUAUCCCAUUGAUAUGAAAUUAACAAUUCUAUUAACAUGAAAUAAAGUUCAACUUUGAUUUGUUUCCCAAUGCACGCAUCACUUGCUUCGGUCAAUCAAGUUACUUCACAGAAUUGAAAUUGUACUGUUGUUUAUACAUGAUAGCCGCCUAUGAUACUGCAGUUUUCUACAUUCUAACAAAGGGAUGCAUAAUCUACAUUCAUACACGGAACAUUUCAACAAUGUUUGAGACAAAUGGAAAGAAUGGAGGCUUCUUUUCAAUUUGAUCAAAUACCUGCAAUAGUGGUUCAAAUAAUAUACUAAUGAACCCGAAAAAGCAGUGCAAUUAAAAAUGCCAAAGAGAAGAAAUUUGUGGUACAAUUUGUCCAGUUGCUUGAAUACUAAAAUAUUUUAUGACCAAACUAAUCCAAAAAGCAAGAGUGAGAGAGAGAGACUUUGUAAAAAUACCCAGAAGAGAGAAAAUUAAUAAUAAUAUUGAUAGAGAAAUAAUAGUGAGGCACAUUAGACUUUUUUGUCCUCAUAAGCAUCACAUCACCCACUUUUCCUACCUAUAAAUGUUGGCUCUUGUUUCCCUAUUUCUUUCCCAACAAUCAAACACAAACAAACACCUGGCUUCUUCUCUUUCUAUUUCCUAAAGAAGAAGAAAUAUAAGAAAAGGUCAAGAAUAUGGGUCGAGCUCCGUGCUGCGACAAGGCUAAUGUGAAGAAAGGACCAUGGUCACCUGAAGAAGAUGCUAAACUCAAAGAGUAUAUUGAAAAAUACGGCACUGGAGGCAACUGGAUUGCUCUUCCUCAGAAAAUUGGUAUAAUAUACAGUUGAAACUCUCUUUCUUGCUUUUUUUUUUGGUAUGUUGUGCUUUGUAUUAGGGUUUUGGAAAGGUGCAUAUAUAGAUUAAAUUAAUAAAUUAAUGAUGGUAUAAUUGAUGCAUAUAGGGCUCAAGAGAUGUGGAAAGAGUUGCAGACUUAGAUGGUUGAAUUACUUAAGGCCUAAUAUCAAGCAUGGUGGAUUCUCCGAAGAAGAAGACAACAUCAUUUGCAGCCUUUACAUAAGCAUUGGCAGCAGGUUUUUUUUCCCUCUAUCUUCUUCUCUCUUAACAUGAACUGUUUGUCCUUUUACCUCAUCCAUGAUGCUUCUUCUGUCUAGUUAGGUUAAUUAAUUAAUUAACCUGAGUUAAAUUUCUUUGGCUUUUAGAUGGUCUAUAAUUGCCGCUCAGCUGCCUGGGAGAACUGAUAACGACAUCAAGAAUUAUUGGAACACCAGAUUGAAGAAGAAAUUGCUCGGAAGGCGUAAGCAAUCUAAUAACAUCAAUGGAUUAAUAUCAACAUCAGGGCAAGAUGUAAAUGGUGUCAAUAAUGGUGGGGAUGAAAACAACAAUAGCCAAUAUUCACAGAGUUUGAGCAACUCCGCUAUAGAAAGGCUUCAGCUUCAUAUGCAGCUUCAAAGCCUCCAAAACCCUCUUUCUUUCUACAACAAUCCUUCCUUUUGGCCCAAGUUGCAUCCUGUCCAAGAAAAGAUGAUUCAAAAUCUUCAAUCUUUGAACCAAAGUUGCCAAAACCCUAAUUUGCAAAAUGUUCUUCCUAGUUCUCAACUUGGGUUGCAUGAGCAAAAUGUUGGUAAUUUCUUUGAACAAUCCAAUUCUCCUCCUACGCCUCCACAAGACUUUCCACAGUCAACCUGCCCCGUGCCUGUAAGCAAUACUGACAACAAUGUGAUGAACUCAAAUGCUAUGCUUAAAGCGAAUGGAUUUGAGCCAUAUAAUGCAGUAAACCAGGAGGUCUCAACAUUCCAAGCUGAGAUUGAAAAUUUUCUUAAUAAUAACAAAGCAGUUGGAUUCACAGCACAGGAGGAGAAUCAAAUUGCUCAGUUUGAUUGUUUCAAUGCUUUGAAUGGUUCUAACAAGGAAAGUUUGAUUUGGUGGGCGAAUGAAUUUGAUUCAAAAUCCGCAUCCUCAAACUCUUGGGACUCUACGCCUGCUAUUCAUCAAUCUGAGGGGAUGUUUCAAGAUUAUGAAUUAGGUUACAAUAUUUAAUAUUUAGAAUGAUUUGUAUGUUUAUUUGUUAUGAUCAUAAGAUGUUGGGAGACGGAGAGUUUGAUAUAAGGUUUUGUAAAUUAUGUGGAUAAUAAUGUGUUAAUGUUAUAUAUAUUCUAAGUUUAUUGCCAUUUAUGAUUUGAUGUGCUUUACAAAAAGUUUGUGACUUCUGUUGUUUUAAUGAAAAUCACCAACUGUAAUUAACUAUAUGUUAUGCUUAAUUAUGAUUAAUAGAAAAUGUCAGCUGAUAACAGAUUUUAUAUUUACUCGAUCUUGGGGAGUAGGAUUCAUUGUCUUGUCUCUUUAACUAGGAUUACUUCUUUUUUCUUUUCUUUUUUUUUUGGGGGUUGCAAAUUGGAAAUUUUAAUCUUGUGUUCCCCAAGUUCAACAGGAAAAAGUAUUUUGUUUGCUGUCCCGAGAAUGUUUUCAUCUUUAUUUUCUUUGAUAUUUAACUAAAAAUUUAAAAUUUAACACUAAAAUCAUGUUUAAAAUGCAGUUGAAGAUAUAAUUUUGUAUUUUCCUCGUUACACAAGUGGUUAAUAAAGAGCAUCCCAAGUGAUCUCCUUAAUUAAUUAUGACAACUUAUGUAUAACUUCCCCCUUUUGUCCCUGAAGAGCAUCAUUAAUGAAAAUUUAACUUGGGAGAGCUUCUUUCUAAUAUUGACAGCAAAUGGUCACAGUGUAUUUUAAGGCGUGUGUGUGUAAUAAUAGAUUUUGCAACAAACUUGGCUUAAAUGGCUUCCCAUGACAAAUGGCAGGUAGCAGCAGUGACUUAGGGCAUUAAACUUUGAUCAUCACCGCAUUUUCCUACUUAAUUUUUCAAUCAAAAAGUUUGUUGUUAUAACAAAUAUAUAUGAUUUGUGAAUUUUACAAGAGGUAUUAAUUUAAUUUCACGAUUUUUUUUAAAUUAUAAGAUUAAUCGAGCUUCUGAUCAUUUCGAAUGUUUUCCGUACAUCCCCUCUCACUUGUACCACUGAUUAACCAAUCACAAAAAUAUAAAUUCACACUGUAAAAAUUCAACCCAAAAAAAAAAAAGAAAUAUAAUGAGAAUCUUGGGCUUGUGAAUUUUUUGGUUUGGGCUAACAUGAGCAGCCCACCGGUUACCCGGCUUUUUACAAUUACUUUACAAUUGAUCUCUCUGAAAUCUGAAUCUUCUUCGGUGUAACUUGUGAGGCAGAGUUUGGGAAUUUUGGAAAAGAAGGUAUCUAGACAUCAAGUCUCUGAUACAAAUAAAUAAGGUCAGUUUGGAUUUUACUUUUUCCACUGCAUUUAUUUAUUUAUUUAUUUAUUUUUGAAGUUUUAGAUUGCGAUCUGGUAAUGCGGAACUUGCAUACUAAUGGGUAUUUUGUUUGCAUUCUUUCGAACUUAUAAAUUAUCAAUUUUUGUAACCCAGGUUGAAUGCUUUUCAGUUAAAUCUUGAUGGGUUUGUUGGGAUGUUGAUGAGUUUAUGAGAUUAUCUAAUAAGCUACUCACCCGCACUUUGUUUUAAAGAUUUUUCGCUAUAUUUUCUUAAUGAUAUGUAAUCUCUCACCCUUGUCAUUGGGAUGAAUCUACUUGUUUUAUGGCUGCCUGGAUUAUUCGAUCUACUGUGAAUGAGUGAGCUAUAUUUUUUGCAAUACGUACAUUGAUACACUCUGUAUCUGACGAUCUCCAUCGAAUAUUCUAACUAAAAUACGUUCACGGGUUGUUUGGUCUAUAGCAUUUUGCUUCUUUACUGGUAGAACUCAACUAUAUAACACAUGCUUUUUAGCAUUCACAUAGUAGGUGACCUGUGUUGGACUCUCACAUACUUGAGAUCAUUGAAUUUAGAAAUCUUAAGUGAUGUUGUUGGGGUUAGCAGAGAUUGCCAAGAUGGUUAUCUUAUUUGAGUAUGUUUCAUAUUUCUUUAUAUUGUCGUAGCCCAUGAGGUUUUUAAAAGAGUACUUUUAUUGGUUUUCUUGAAUUUUUAAGUGUCUAUUCCAUCUUGAUAUGAAACUGUAGUGUGCAGAGAAACAUUUUGACUUAAUGUCCUUGCUGUUUUGUAUUUUGAAAAAACAUGGGCAGGAGUUAUUCCAUUCAGUUUGUUCUAUUCUUUCAUUUCUACUGCGUACUUAGUCAUGAAGGCGAUCGGGAGGUACUCUUUGAAAUUGAAGCUGUUUGAAAGUUGUCUAAUUUGGUAAUGAUCAUCAUGCAGGAAAUGGGUUUAUGGACGCUGCUGGAAGGUUUUCUGCUUCUUGCAAAUGCAUUAGCAAUAAUAAAUGAAGAUCGUUUCCUUGCACCUAGGGGAUGGAGCUUCUCAGAAUUUUCUGUGGGGCGGACAAAGUCAUUAAAGGGACAGAUCAUUGGUCUCAUUUAUGCAACCCAGUACAUGAGAGUUCCUCUUAUACUACUCAAUGCCAUAUGCAUUGUUGUGAAAUUGGUAUCUGGGUGAUGCUUUACCGGGUAAGAUCUCUGUAGAAACACAUGAUAUGUCUAUAUCUAAUGACUUAGUGUAUUUUGGAAUCCCAUCCCUCUUUUUUAAAUGGUAAAAGUGGAUGUAGAUAACUUCCCUAUUGGUUGGAAUUUAUUUUCUUCUGGAUAUGAAGUGGGUCUGAAAAUAGUUCUAUCAUUGAGUUGUAACUUAAGUGAAAAAGAGGUUAUAGAAGUGAAAAUGGAAUAAUUUGUUGGCUGGAACUCAAAUAGGCCAUUGUUGGUGGAUCCGGAGUCGGAAAAACUUUUUGCUGUCAAAGGUCAUGGGGAGUUUAAAAAGUAAUGGAGCCUCAUCUAUUUCUGGAUAAGAUUUCACAUUAAACCCUGGUAUCCAAUAGAUUUACCUAUUGCCAUAUAUGCUUUCCUGUGAUAUCUGAACUGUGCAUCAGAGCGAAAAUUUUGAGACUACGGUUAGACAUUUUACUUAACAAAACUAACUUCCAAUUUAAGCUGGCUAGACACAUGAAGAUAUGAUAAUAGCAAGGUAAUAAUAGCCUCCAAAGUCCAAACUGGGGUUAGAGUAAAGAACUGAGAGCAAUAUAAUAAUAGGAAUAUUUCCUGCAGAAGAUAGCACCACACACUUCCAGUUCCUGUCUGUCAUUCUUCUUGGUCCUAUUUUCAAUGGUGAAAUUAUGGAUUUCCUAGCUUCAGUUCCUUAGAUUGAUUGACCAACUAAUAGGAGGAUUCUUUGACUCAGGAGAGGAGUGACUCAUUUCAGGUUUCCAUAUAGCCAGAAUCAUCUUUCUUCAGUUUGAUUGGUAUCCUAUGUUGUCUUUUGCUUGCAUUUCUGUGUUCACUCCUCUAUUGUUGCUUCUUUUCUUUUCUUUUUUUUUAAUAAAAGUUACACCGCACCUCAUCCCUUUGCAUCCUCAAAUUAAAUGUAUAUAUUAUUGUUUUCUCAUGCAGCACUAGUAACUGGCAUGCUACAAACAAAAUGUGAAUUGUUUCACCGGAAACCAAUUUUUGGUUGUGUAAUUAAUUGAAUGUCCUUUUUGUCUUAUCAUUGUAUCAUGUGCAGGUUUCUUAUAAUUGAAUUACCAAAUCUAGAGUCUCCCAGAAGUGCUUUUGCAAAACGGAAGAAGCAUUCCUUUAAGAAAAUUCUAGUAAUUCUUUUAGUCUAGGUGUUGUCUUGUAUAAUGAGCCCCUGCGGGGGUUGUAUUUUAGACUUUACUGACAUUCUUUUGGUGUGAGAACGAUAAUCUGAAAUUGGUAGUGUUCAUUUCUAUUUUUUGUUUCAAAAAUAGCUUUUGCUUCUGAUUAUUCACGAUUACAGGGCUGUUUGCAUGUACAUCAACUUUGAUAUCUCUUAGCAAUGCUAAAAGUUUUGUGCUAUGAACUUGACGCCACAACAUUCAUUUUCUCAUUUGCUGUCUAUACAAUUUGAUUGUUGAAUAGCGUGGUCACUUCAGAUUCAGAUGUUGCAAUCAUUAAGAGUUUUUUCACCUUACGGCGCAUUAAAGAUUCAGCUAAAUGUUAUACAUAUCAUUUGCACUUGUAUGAAUUUCUAAGUAAGGUUAAAUCUAUUUCCAUUUCGCGGUUAAUCAUAAUUGUGGUGUGUGAUUAGAGCACUAAUUCUUUUGUGGGCACGAAAGGAGUAUCUCACACUUGCCAAUUGCCAUUAAUCGUAUGGUAGUGCCACUUAGUCAAAACUAAACCUCAAGUUUUGAAGAUUCACAACGUCCAUAGCACGUCACGAAAAUCAGGAGUCUGGCUUGGUUGUUAUUGGGAGUCUUAGGUUGGCCGGUCAACUUGAGGUUUAGUUUUGACCAAGUGGCGCUACCAGACGAUUAAUGGCAACUGGCAAAUGUGAGAUUGUUCUUUUACGCAUACUUGAUGUUAAGACUGACCAAUCUUAUGACUUCUAAUGCGAGGAUUUGAAUGGCUUUUUGACUUAUACCUAUUUUCAUAAUUAAAAUUGAAUUCUUUGGAUUCAAUGUUUAUUUUUGCACGAAACCCGACCUUCAAAGUCUUGUUAUAAAAGCUAAAGUCGAGUAUUAGGAUCCCCUUUUAGCUCUUUCAAUAUUCUCCCAUUUCUGUUCUUACAUUGUUCGUAGAACUUUUUCAGCUGAUGCACAAAAUGUCAAGGCAUUGCAAAUUCAUAAAUUACUUCAAUUCAAAUUCUACACCCCUUCGAAGUAGGUCAAUUUCAAACUUGAUAUACUAAUAGAGUAAUGAUAUAUCCAUAAACUUUUGUACAAAUUUAUUUUGUACAAACUAAUGUGACAUGAUAAGAUUGGUUGAAUUAAAUAUCACUUAGCCUACAUGAUUUAUUUUUAUUAUUUUAUAUUUUCAUUCAACCAAUGAAUUAAUGCCACGUCAGUUUGUAUAAAAUAAAUUUGUACAAAAAUUUGUAACUGUAUCAUUACUCAUACUAAUAUCAAGUCAUGUUGACAACUUCAACGAGAGCCUUAAAAUUCUUAGUAGAGGAACCAUUAGAUUCCGCAGCCUUAAAAGCAAGUUUCUUAAGAGCACCAACAUUCUCUCUCAUUCUCUUCCCUUCCUCACUUGACAAUACCUGUUUCAGAGCAUUCACUGUUUCAUCUUUUGUGAAUUUCUCACCCUUAACCCCCACACCAAUACCCCAUGCCGUCUCGAUGAUCCGCUGGUUCAAUGCUUGAUCAGCAAAAACAGGCCGGCAGACCAUUGGCACGCCGCCGGUAAUGCCCUCAAUGGUAGAGUUCCAUCCGCAGUGAGUAACAAAUACACAAACUGAAGAAUGUUCCAAGAUUUUCAGUUGAGGAGCCCAUGGCACCACUUUCCCAUAAGAUUUUGUUCUUUCUAAGAACCCUUUUGGCAAUUGUUCCUCAGCAUUGCCUCUAAAGGACCAAAGAAAAGGAAACCCUAUUGCCUCUAGGGCUUCAGCCAAUGCUAUAACCUCAGCUCGUGGUGGUGUGAUCAUGCUACCAAAACUGAUGUAAAUAACUGAUGCAUUUUCAUGUUCAUUCAGCCAUGGCAGGCAGCCAUGAGGAUCAGAAACCGGUGGUGGAGAUGUUAAGGUGGAAGGUCCAACGUCGAGAAAUUUUCGGAAUCUUGAUUUGAGUGUUUCAACAACAAUGGGGUCUAGUUCUUCAUAGGAGUUUAUGGCAACGACGGUUGCUUUUGGCAGUGUUUUUCCCAUUUUGUCCAACAUUCUUGGGAAAGAUGAAUCUAGGGGUCCGGAGAUUAUUCCUUCAGGUAAGUCCUUUGCGCGAAUUGAUGAAAAUCCUGGGAUGGAUUCCAGGGUUUGAUUUUCAGGUCCUGCAUUUGAAAGUGGAAAAAUGGAAAAAUCAAUUAAUUAAGUAAUUAAUCAACUAAAUAAUAUUGAUAAUAACAAUAAUAAUCAACAAUAACAAUAAAACUUGAGAAAAAGAGUAUCUAAAAAUUUGUCAGAUCAAUAAUAUAACAUAGCCUAAUGUCCACCGAUCAUGUAUAUUAGCUUGAAAAUGAUUUUCUAUAUUAGGUAACGGUCUUUACCACCAGACCAAUGAUCUGGUUGUUUUAUAACCAUGUAACUAAUGAAUGCAAUAACUAAAUUGAGUCUAUGGUCAAACUUACCAUUAACUCCGAUAAUUUCCCGAAUAAUAUCCGAGUCAACGUGAGCAAGCAGCGAACGGGGUCCGGCCGUCCAGUAUGCGAUCCACGGGACCCGCAUCUCCUCGGCCAUCUCCGCCGCAAACCAAAGGAAAGCAUCGGUGAUCAAGCAGCUGAUCUCCAGCCCCGUUUUCGCUACCGCCUUUUCCAAAGCUCGCACAAAAUUCCCAGGUGUUGCCUUCAGGAAAUGUUCCACUGGCUCCCGAGGGUUGCCCGUAAACCUGAAGCCCUCGGGCAAGCCGGACUCAACAUUGUAAGGCACUAUCUUACAAUCUCGAAGCUCAUCUUUCUCCAUAAACAAUGAGCCGUUGGAUUGUGCUGUGCUGAAGAAAGAAAAGGUAACCUCUUCCUCCAGCGCGGCCUCGGAGAGGCGCCGGACGAGGUCAAGGAGGGGAGCUGCGUGAGUUCCGAAAGGAAAUGCUAAAACAGCUACGUGUCUUCUCUGGGUGCUUCCGGCUGCUUCUGACAUUUUGUAUUAUUAUUACCCGACGAGAUAUUUGAUGUUUUCCCCUCUUGCUUGUGAAGAUAUUUAGCAAGAGAAGGAAGACGUUGGUAGCAUUUAUUGUUCAUGAUAAUGGCUAGGUCUUCAUUAAAUAAUAUUAGUUUCAACUCCUUGAGGAAAAUCUGGCGCGUCAAUUAAAUUAACGUGAUUAAGAGCAAAGUUUUGAAAGAUCGUGAGAAUUUAGAAAAUGGUUAACAAGGAGAAGUUCGGUAGCUUCUACCGUCCAUGAAAAUGGCCGAGUUUGUGAAUGUUUGAUUAGUGUCUUGUAAAAUUGGAGGAAAUUGAGGAAACCAUCCAUACAUAGCAUGAUAUUAUUAGAUUAUUAUAAACUGUCGUGCCACCUUUAAUGUAAGGGAAAAGCGAUACCUUAAUUGUUAUGUACGUGACAAUAUUUCGCUAGAUCGGCGUAUGAAUUUUUGCAAUGUAUGUAUUUUAAAUUUUUGGCAUAUAUGUAUUUUAAAUUCAAUUUUCUUCCGAGUUGUGAUUGAUGAAUUUAAAUAUAUAUAUAUUUUGAUGAAAAGCAAAUACAUACCAAAGCUCGCCCAAUUCAAAUGAACAUGGACUUAGAAAAACACUACAAAGAAGAAAUAAACGAUUUAAUUUCUAAAGGUCUCAUUGUCAAGUCAAGAUCCCCCUGGUCUUGUGCUGCUUUCUAUGUCAAUAAAAAUUCUGAAAUUGAAAGGGAAACACCUAGACUUGUCAUUAACUACAAGCCCCUUAAUAAAGCCUUAAAAUGGAUUAGGUAUCCCAUACAUAAUAAAAAGGAUUUGCUCCAAAAACUACAUUAUAUAUAUAUAUAUAUAUAUAUGUGUGUAUGUAUGUAUGUAUGUAAAAAAUUAAUUGGAUCAGAACAAGGAUGAUGACAUGUUACCUAUCAUUCUCAAGUGAUUCACGUCUAUUGGAUCGGCUUAAUUUGCAUGGUUGAAGCUUGGAAUAAUAUUUAAUUGUUUCCCGGGGAUCCUGAAAUCUGCAGCCAACGUGGAUGCGUUUAGAUCUUUUAGUUGUUUGUGGUUGUGGUAGAUUUUUUUUUUCCCCUCUCUCUCUUUCUUUCUUUCUUUCUCUCUCUCUCUUUCUGGCACAUAGAAUAUUGAGGUUCAAACGCCUUCCGUCCCUGGAAAGGCCUGCUGAUUAAAUGACAAAUUUCAAUUCUGAUGUUGUCACAGAAAAUGCAUUUCAUUCACAUGAUUUUCCUCAUGUCUUAAUGGUCCACGCAUGACUAAUUCCUAUGAAAUUAAUGUACCAUUAACACUUUAUCUUGAUUGGUAAAUAUUUUUUUAUUGCUAGUAGUUUAUUAAAACUAUUCUUAAUCAAGUUUAUUAUAGUGCAUUAUAAAUUUAUAUCCUCACUGAUAUUUGGAAGAAUAUUUAAUAAAUUUAUAUUAAUGGAGGAUAUAUUCAUUUCUACUCAAUUAAUUUGAGUCCUACCAAUUCUUAUAAUUUUAAAUCGCUUUGAAAAUUUGAGAUUGGGGAUGUUGCCAUUCAAUUAUAAACUCAUUAGCUAACAAUAAAUAUGUACAGAUGAUAGAGGGAGAAAUUUUAGAAUACAUAAGAGGUAUUAUGCUAGUUAUAUAAUAAAUAAAUAAUAUUAUGAUAUGUAUGCAUUUAUUUUUGAAAAAUCACUAUGCAAGUGGUGGUUAUAUUAAAUUUAGUUAUACAUGUUAUACAUACAUUAAUUAGCUAUAUCACCUUUUAUAUAUUCUAGUAUUAUUCGGUUAGAGGGUAUAAAGGAUGUGUAACUUAUGGUGAGAAACUUUAUGGAUUAUAUAAAUGAAUAUAGAAAUAUUUAUUAGCAUUAGGUGGCGAGUCUAAUCUAGCUACACUAAACGAAUCAAUGUCUCUCUUCUCGAAGAAUUUUGGAAAACUUUAAGACGUUGCUUCUUGGUACGUCUUCAAUGCUGAAAAAGUUUAGGAAACCUUUUUAAUUUCUCUACAAUAAAUUAAGGAAAUUUUGAUUACAAACAAGUUCUAUUGGCUUUGGUAGAGUUUUGGUAUUGUUAUUGUAAAUUUUUGCUCAAUGUAUAUCAAUUGAUCUAUGUUCUGAACUUUUUUACACAGUUUUGAACUUUUUUUAAAAUUAAGUUUUGUGACUUAUUUUAUCCUUAAGACAAAUGUUUUAAAUCACAUCUCUUCUUGUGAUUAAUUAUUCUGCAAAACAAAACAAUUAUCAAAGGGGGUUGGCGUGCCAGCUAUACCUUUUAACAUUUAAGUCAGUUCUUUUUACUCAAUUUUUAUAGAAAGAAAAUAUGGAAUGAGAUGGGCAGAUUUUUUGUACUCAUUUUAUACUCCUUUUUUCUUUACCUUCAAAUGGGGAUCUUGGCCUUUAAAUAGGUAUUUUUGUGUCAAUUGGAGAGGUUAAGUGGCAAUUUUCUUGUGACAAGUGUCAUUCGAAGCCCAUGCACGGAGAUAUAUAUUUAUACGUGUCAAUACUUAUUUAUGAAAAAUAUUUUUUAAACAUUUGUCAUAUUUUUGGGCUUUUGUCCUUUAAUGGGCUUGAGCUUGAAUUUAGCGCUUAUGUUGAUUCCUUAUAAAAAAUAUUGAUUUUAUAACAUUUUGCCUAUAAGCACAAUCCGUAGAAUUUAAUCUUUGCCCAUGGCGCAUUUCGUAAAACGUACAUUUGCCAGUAGGCGUAUUUCAUAAAAUGUUUUACCUGUAAGUACAUUCUGCAAAAUACUUAUUUGCCAGUAGGCGCAUUCCGUAAAAUAUAUAUUUGCUUGUAAACUCAUUCCAUAAAAUAUUUGUUUGUCCAUAAGCUCAUUUCGUAAAAUGUCUAUUUGCUUGUAAGCGCAUUCCAUAAAAUGCAUAUUUGCCCAUAGGCGUAUUCCAUAAAAUGUAUAUUUAUCUGCAGGCGCAUUUUGUAAAAUGUGCAUUUACCUAAAAACACAUUUCGUAAAAUAUAUAUUUGCCCACGGGUGCAUACUGCAAAAUGUACAUUUGCUCAUAAACUCUUACUUGGAAAUAUUUUUUUUAAGUAUGAAGGUCAUUUUUUUUGUAAGGAACGGAUUUAGGUCAUUUUUUGUAAAGAAUAAACCUAUAUCGUUCUUUAUAAAUAAUAGACCUAGAUCAUUCUCUGUAAAGAAUGGAUUUAUGUCUUUCUUUGUUGAAUCAUGUCUUGGCGUUUUGUUAAAGACUUACUCUUUACACAUUUUACUUAGAAAUAUUUUAUAGCUCUUUACGCGUUUUACUAAGAAAUAUUUUAUAAGUGCUUAGGUCAAUUUUUGUAAGGAGUGGAUAUACGUCGUUCUUUCUAAAAAAUGAAUAUAGGUCAUUCUUUAUAAAAAAUCAACCUUGUCAUUACUUGUAAGUAUAGGACCUAGGUCGUUCUUUGUUUAGAUCGUUCUUUAUAAAUAAUGGAUCUAGGUUUUUUCUUUUUGAUAAAUAUUGGACUUAGGUUAUUCUCUAUAAAAACAGGCCUAAGUCUUUCUUUAUAGAAUCAUGGUUUUAGCGUUUUAUCAUAUCUUGUAUUUAAAUACUUAGAAUUCUAAGUACCUAUGCCAAUCUUAUAUAAUAGACCUAGGUUAUUUCAUAUAAAAUACUUUUAUUGGGCUUAUAUUUUUUGUGGGUCUUAGACUUUUCAUAAUUUGGUCUAAUAGGUACAUUUGUUUACAAUAAAAGUUUGUGAUUCUAUAUUAUUUAUCAAUUAUUAAAUUUAACUAAUAUUUUGAUUAGCACUGUAAAUGCAUGUCCAUACAAAUUUAUUCAAUUCAACAAUAUUUUUAUUAAAACAGAGAAUUCGUCAGUAUCGGUUUAACUAUAAUUAUAGUACCCUAAGGACAUAUCUUAUUUCACAGUUUAAGCAUCGUUAGAUAAUGAGAAUUUCUUCAGUGUUUUUGUUAUUUUUUAGUACUUUUGUUACUUUAAUUAUAAGAUAGGUUAAAGAAUCUUCGCUGGAUCGUAUUGAUUUAUGUAAAACAGAGCAAACGAAAGUAAAUAAAAAAUGGCAAAACAAAAUUUUAUAGAAGCCGCUCCGUUGAUUGAGGUGGUAAUAUACAUUGCAUCUCCGUCGAUUAAGGAUGUGGCCUUUUUCAUAAUAAAUUCCGGAAUUUCGCCGAUAUCAUUGUUGAAUAAAGACAUAGUCUAUUCUCUCAAUUUGACUUCUGACAAAAAAGAAGAAGAAGAAGAAAAAUCAUCUUCUUACUCGCUCAUUCAUAUUAUUUCUUGAGAUGAUCGAUUUCAGGUCUUAAUUUCAUUUAUUGACAAAUUAGUUCAAUUUAUUUAUAUUUUUUUUUAUCGUGGGCCGACACAGCCUAUUUCUGUCGCAUAUAAUCUAUGAAUAUUGUUUACAUUUUAGCGGAAUUUGCAGUUAUAGAAAUUAAGGACCUCUCUUUUUAAUUCUGUAAGGAAAUAAUAAAAUAAUCUGUCGUAUCAAAAUUAGCUUCUGAAAGGAUCAGAACAGGUGCCCAUGAUUUUUGGUUGACAAUUGUAAAGUUGGAGGUGGAAUUUAGAAAGAUUCCGAGCUUUUUUCUUAUUUGAAAAAAAAGAAGAAAGAAAUUAGGAUUAUAUUAUGCCAGCAUAGAAUUUAGAGAAUAAAUUUGCCAAUGACACAGCGUUUCAAAAAGAAUAAUUGAUGAUUUGUACAUCCAUUUCUAAAAAUAUAUAAAGGCCAUGGUUAUCGUGAAAUUACUUUAAAGUAAAGUAUAAAUCAUAAUCACAUAUAGUAAAGUGAUAAAUAGUAAAAAUAUAUAUUAUAAUUUUGAUCGUAUGGUUAUGAAAGAUUACUCUACCUUAAAACGGUUUUAAUAUACCCGAACCCAUAUAUAAAACACACUUUAAGAAUGAUACAAAUUUAUUUACUUAGUAAUUAUUUUUAAUGUUGUUAGAACACUUAAGAGAUAUUUUUAUAUUGCCAGCUGUACUAUAGUAUCUAUGACUUUUAAUACAUAUUUGGUAUCACUUAUCUAAUAUUAUAAGUGUUUGUUUAAUAUUAUAAGCUCUUUUCAUAUUUUUUUAAUUGUUAUUUAGAUUCCUUCGAGUAGAAUUUUUAAAGAUCAAAUAAACAACUUUAUCUCCACUAGUAAAAACUUAAAUUUUAGUGUCUGUUUGGUAUAAUUUUUCUAAUGGUCAUAAGUGCUUAUUUAAUCUCGUAAGCUCUUAUUCAAAAUUUUUGUUGUUGUUUUUCUUUUUUUCCCUCAUAGCUUUUGAAAAUUAAAUACUCUAUUUGAUCUCUACUAGUAAAAACUCAAAUUUUGAAUUUUGGGAAGAACUCCGAAGAAGAGGUUAAAAAGCUUUUUUAAAAUGUUAAAAUAUCUUAAUAUCAUCUACUUAUUUGAUAUUUUUAUUUUAUUCUUUUUAUAACGUAACUUUAAAAAACUUGCCUAUUAAAGUAAUUUUAUAAUUUUUAAUAAAAGUUCUUAUUGACGACCAAACAAAUAAUUUUUUUUUUUUUGUAAAAGCUCUACUUAUAAAAGCUUUACUAAUAAAAAAUUCUAUUUAAAUAAAUUUUACUUGAAGUGUUGUACCAAACGUUCCCUUAAGCUUUUAGGAAUAGAGAUUGAAAAACUUUUUUAAAAUAUUGAAAUAUUUAAAAUAUACUUUAGUUAUUUUGACAAUCUUAUAUUAUUUCUUUAAUAACAUAACUUUAAAAAAAAUUACCUAUUGUAAGUAAUUUUAUAAUUUUUAAUAAAAACUUUCACUGACAACCAAAUAAUUAAUUUUUUUAAUACAAACUUUAUUUAUAAAUAAUCUAGUUAAAUAUGUUUUACUUAAAAAUGUAUACUAAACAAAGAUUUAAUAUUCAAUAUUUUUGGGACAUAUCUUUUGCAACGUGGUAUGAUCCAAUUGGAUUUCACGUAAGCUAAGAUUUUUAUUAUUCAAUUUCAAAGCUCUGAGCAGGUCCAAAAUUAUUAAACUAUCGAAUUGGAUAUUCAGAUCUCUAUGUCCUCCUAUUUUCAAUACUUCCAAUCCAAACUAGCGUCUCUAUGCGUGUCCUCCUUUAUCUACAUUGAAAUAAAUGGCAAGAAAAGGCCAUCCCUAAUAUGAUCCUUUGACCAUAAUUUCAAAUUAAUUUAAAUUUUAGAUUUUUUUUUAACAUGUCUCCUAAGAAUAAAUGUUAUAAUGAUAUUAUCAUGUUCAAUAAUAUCAUACAUAAAAACUUACGAUAUAAUAUUACUUUCAAAAUCUCAAAAAAUGUGGUUUUGCCAUACUAAUUGUGUGUCAAGUGAUUAAAAUCUUAUCUUCUUUUGAGUGAUGAUACUGUCACAAACUCUUGUACAAACUUAUCUUGUACAAAUUGAUGUGGCAUUAAUUCAUUGGUUGAAUGAAAAUAUAAAAUAAUAUAAAUAAAUCAUGUGGUUCAAGAAUAUUUAAUUCAACCAAUGAAUUAAUGUUUUAUCAGGUUAUACAAAAUAAGUUUGUACAAGAAUUUGUGGCUGUAUCAUCACUCCUUUUUUAUUAUUUUAUUGUUACAUUAAGAUUUAUAUAAUAUCCAACUAUUUAUCAUAUUAGUUUAUAUAUAAAAUUUCUAUCCUAAAUUUGUAAAUGCAGGGAGUCGUCAUUUUACAAUAACUCUAAAUGAUUGUACCACUGCAUUUCAAUUUUUUUUUUAAUGAACAAAACAUUGAGAUAAGUAACAAAAAAUUUGAGAUGUUGUCCACUCAGUCGAUUUUAUUUUAUUCUUACUGAAUAUUUAUUUGAAGAAAAAGAUAACAAUUACACUUUAAAUAAUUUUUACUAUUACUAUUUUGAAACCUGUAGUGUUAAUGUGUUUUCUUUUGGAUAACAAGUUUUACUAACUACUCCGAUUCCCCUCCCCCUUCUAAUUUAGUAAAGUUAAUUAUAUGAAGAGAUGAUGAAUGAUUUUCAUCUUCUCCGUUUCUUGCGGCGGAUGAAUGAAAAUAAAAACUUAAAGAUAAGGCCAACACUAGCUAUGAAAUAUUAAUUAGAAAUUAGUUUUAAUUAGCUUGAAAACUUUGUCGCCCCUCAAAACAAAUGCGGCAAUCAUUAUCGAACAUGGAUGCCACCUCAUAGUUGACACUUUAUACCCUCUUCCAAAACCAACUACUACCAGAAUUUCAACAGCAACAAUAAUUAUAAAUGCAAUGCCACAUUAAUUGUAAUUAAAAUCACAACACAGUAUUCACAAACACACAUCUCCGAAAUGAGCAAAUUAAUCCUUGCCACCGUCGGCAUUUUGCUGCUGCUCAUUUCAAGCAGCAAUGCUAGCAGCAACAGUAAUUACUGGAGCCUAGCAAAUCAGUUCCUGGUGCCUCAGAAUGCAGCUCGUUACGCUCUUAGAAUGAGGCCAAUGCAAUGGGACCCCAAUCUGGCGAGAUAUGCACAGCAAUAUGCAAACAAGAGGAGGUAUGAUUGUGAGCUGAAGCAUUCUAACGGACCUUAUGGGGAGAACAUUUUUUGGGGCAGCGGCAACGGGUGGACGCCGGCGCAGGCGGUCAUGGCGUGGAUUUCGGAGAAGAAGUCGUAUGAUUAUUGGUCGAAUUCGUGCUCCGGCGGGCAGCAAUGUGGGCAUUAUACACAGAUUGUGUGGAGCAGAACAAGGAGAGUUGGAUGCGCGAAAGUGACUUGUUUUGGUGGAAGAGGUGUUUUCAUAACUUGCAAUUACGAUCCUCCUGGUAAUUAUAUUGGAGAAAGGCCUUAUUAGUUAUCUAAAUUGAUUUUUGAUGAUUUUUCAAGAAAUUUUGUGCGUCUUCCCUUUCUUUUUUUGGGAUUGUGUUUUUUUGCCAAUGGAAAAAUAGAACAUGGGCUACUAGUGUGUCUUGAUGUAUAAAGUCUUUAAGAGACUUUAUUUUUCUUUAUUCAUGUUUUUGCACUAUUAAUUAUGUAAAAUAAAAAAAAAGUAAUUAAAAAAAAGGCAAAGCUUAAUUAUGCCUUCGAAUUAUAUUUAUGUAUAUACUGUCAACUGUCAAGUGUCAUUGUUAGUAAGCUCUCUUGAUGUGUAUUUAUAUCUAUAUACGUAUUCUUUAAUUUCGCCCAACUAAUUAAGGGAAAGUGAAUUUCAGGCUCGAUGUCUUCACUUUCUUUUCUUUGGCCAAUUUUUUUAGUAAACAAAUAAUUUUGAAUUAUAUGUGCAUACUUAGGGCGUGAUAUUGUGUGUUUUUGAGUCGUUUUCGGCUAAUUUUUUAGACCAUUCACUUAUGCUUCUUCCUCUCGUUUUGUUUUGCUUCGCUUUUUUUUUUUUCUUUUUCUUUUUGAGUGAUGGAUUACAUAUAUUUUUCAUCAAGUGCAAUGCUUUUUUGUUUCUAUCUUUCUAUCGGAAAUCAUGAGUUGUGUUCCAAAACAUAGAGCCUCUUGCAUGCUGAAAGAUUAUUUACACCUUGAAAGGAAGAAGGAAGAGACAAUGAAUAAGAUACACAAAAUAAUUAUGCCACUUACGAAAAAGGUAUAUGGGUUCCACCCUUAAAUGGAAAAUCCAUAAUUAAAUUUGCGAAAAUUGUCACAUAUUCUGUCAUUAUGAUGGGGAAAAAGGGAGAAAAAGAAACAUUUCUUCUAUCUGUGUUCUCUACUGCUGAUUACUAUUAAUUAAAAUCCAUUUAAUUUUAAUUUUAAAUUCUUUAAUUGUAAAAAUUAGUUUAUAUUUUAAUUUGAUCCUUGUCAUAUUGGAUUAAAUUUUGAAAAAAAAAUCAUUAACUAUAAAAAAUACUUUAUUUUUGCUGACUGCAAAUAAAUAUAAGUGUUACUUAAGAAUUUGGUUCGAUUGAGUCAUAAUGGAGAAACUGUGUGUGUCAGUGUGUGUGUGUGUUGAUAAAGAGAUGAACGCUACAACACAAAGAGGGCCUCCGGCAGGACCAUAAUAGAGACACUAUAACCUCAUGUUAUAAAAAAAUUAUAUGCAAACAUGAGCGGCCAAACAUAAAAUAAAAAUAACAAUGGGUAAAAUUUCAAUUCAGUUGUUCAUUUUUCCUAGAACUUUUAUUUGGCUAGUCCUGCUGUCACAGGCUAGCUCGAAUAGCUUUCUGCCCUCGAGCGACCUUAUGUAAUCAUUUAUUUCUAUUACUUUGCCUUAUCUUACGGAGCUGCUUAAUCAGUUAUAGAAAACAAUAAGAUACAGUAGAUUUUAAAACAUGCAUAAUAACUAGCACGGUUACUCUCUACAGUAGAUUAAUGACAUACACAUCGAAGAUUACUAACAAAAUGAUAAUUAUAAAAGUAGAACUCUUAUUGAUAGUAAAGAUAGUCGAAUACAAACCAUCAUACUUGCUACUGUCGCUAACAUUUUAAUUUCCAUAAGAACAAUAUACUUCAUUUUUAUAAAAUACAUGCUGAUUAAACCUAAAUAUUUAAUUACACCAUACCAUGUGUCCACAGAUAUAUCUCCAAUUCCCAAUUCAUAUAUAGUACCAAUACAAGACAUCAAUACGGCCUUUCACCAACAUAAUUACCAACAGGGUCAUAGUUACAAGUCAUAAACACAUCACCAUUGUCACAAACAACACGAGCACAUCCAAUUCUCCUCGUAUUCUUCCAGACAAUCUGCGUAUAAUGCCCGCACUGCUGCCCCUCUUGGCACGUAUUCGUGGCGUACGUAUAGUACUUCUCUUCUCCGGCCCAUACACUCACUGCGUCCCUCGGCGUCCACGUCGACCCACUGCCCCAAAAUAUGUUCUCGCCAAGCUUGAAAUUGUCCUCCGGGAACGAAUGCUGCAGUUUGCAAUCCGCUUUCCUUUGGUUCGCCCACCACCUCGCGUAUUUCUCUAAGUCAUAGUCCCAGAUCAACGGUAGCUCCCAUUUCAUGGCUCUAACUAAGUUGUGAUCAAACAAGAACUGAAGUGCCUCACCUAUGCAACCCCAGCAUAGUUGCUUGGAGACCCUGUAUAUGGUUGCGUUGUCGUUGUCCGGGCUUAAACGGUGCGUCUCAGGUUGAGAGGUGACCAACAGAGUGUUAGUGGUGAUGAUGAACAGAACAAUAAUCUUGCAGAGAGGCUGCAAUUGCGGCUUCAUUUUUGUGUCUGUGGCACGAAAUUUCAAGGAGUAAUCUAUUCUAUUCGACCGUGUGUGUGUGGGUGUGUGUGAAGAUAUAUAUGGUGGUGGGGCUACAAAAUAAAGAGCAAAUGCCACUAAUUUCUGUGAAUUGCAAGCUCCAAUGAGUGCAGAGAGUUGAAUUAUUUUAGCUUGGUGUGAAUGGGAGAGUGUUUGUUUUUUUGCAUGGCGUAAUUGAAUGAUUGAAUUUCGAAGGUGUCUCGUGAGCUGGACCAGCUGGUUUAUGUUGCGCCCGUGAACCCUAAAUAGGACAAUAUUGCGGUCGGCAUGGAUCAUUCCAGAAUCAACGUGUCAUCAUUUUAUUCGACAUAAAAAAAAAAAAAACUAAAACCAAAAUAGAGUUAAAAAUGUAAAAGGCCAAAAAGAAGAACUUAUAUCGUACAUGUGAUUGACAUAACAUGUCAUAAAAUAAUUCAGUGUUUCAAUGUUAUCCAUUUUGGCCGGUGUUACGUUACGUUAAACGUACGCCACACACAAUAACAGUUGAGAAUUUCACCAUAAAAAUUAUUGUUGUAUAUGAAUAUACGUUACGUUUGGGAUUCAUUAAUUUUAUGUGCUACAUUAUCAGGUUAUUUUAAUAUUAGCAUUGACCCACCAUUUAUGAUGUAUUUACCUUUAAAAUUGAGGAAUGAGAAUCUAAAAUCUAACUCAUUGACUUUGUUUACUUACAAAAAUAAAAAGGAGAAUGAAAAAAAAAAAAAAGAUAAAUCCCACGUGAAGUUGAAAAUCAAAUUUUUAUUCUUUGAACACACUAUUUUACCAUCACCUAAAUUUAUUAAUUUCACUUUUGUAAUAAAUAAUAAUAAUUCUUCUUCUUCAAUUAUUAAUUGGUACACACAUAAUCAACUUUUGUCUAUUUCAAUUAGGACAAAGGUUUCAAAAGUUUACAUCUUCUCCAGAAAAUUAAAUCUUGCCCUGUUUUCAAAGUAAAAACAUAUAUCAUAACAAAUAGAUUUCACCUCUUUCCACCAGAAUUUAGAUUUGUCACAAAAUUGCAACUCCUUUUCUCUUCCAUAUCUUCCCUAAUCUUCAACUUAACUUGGGCUUUUGAAAAGUGGCGUCUUGUAUUAAUUUUGCACACAUUGCAAUAGAAAGAACCAAAAACGAAAAUGCAAAAGCUUCAAGCACGAUAGCAUUAAUCCAACACCAUCUUACAAACAUAUAUUCAAAGAAAUCAAUCUUGCAUGUCUUUGGACCGCUUUGGAAAAGCCGGAAUUUGUUUUUGUAGCUUUAAAACUUUCUUGUGGUUACAAACCCAAAAACCAAUUGAUAAAUUUUCCAAGACUUGCAUUGUGUUUCAACAAACAACAGGGCACACUCUCUGGCGCAGCCCACUAAACAUAUCCAAAACUAAUGUCUCCUAAUAGCAAAGGAAACCAUUAAUGAGCCUAAUGAAACAUGAAGAAUCAAACAUUUUAGUAGUAAAAUCAAACAAAUUGACUCAGGUAGUAAGGCACAUAUGAUUAUGAACAAAGUAUUUUUUGACAAAGCCGCAUCUUGUCCAAGAUAAGAACUUCCAAAUUGGGGGAGUUCUUGAGAAAGGUUGAUAACAAUUUCUAAAUCAGGCAACACUGAGUUCUAGAAUUUCCAUUGUGCCCGAAUCAUCAAAUUAAAAUGUUGUAGUUACUCAAGACAGAAGAAUUGUAUUUAAUUUAGGGUUAGGCUACUUCUAAUGUACAGUAGUUACUCUUUACUAGGUUCAAGUAAAUUUUCUUACAAAAGAGUUACAUAAACAGAAAUAUAAAUUAUUAAGCUGACCGUUAACCACAUUCUUGAGCACUAAAAUGAACUUCAUACCAACGUUCAUUAUUAAGAAAUUACUUAGAUAUUGCCUAUAUUAUUUCUAACCUAGAUCGUCCAAAUUCACAUAUAUAGAAGUAGGACCAAAUCCAACAAUGGAAUUAAACAAAUUGACUAUUUCUAAGUCAUUCUCCACCUUUACAUUGGAUUCUCUUGAUAUGGAACAACAAACAAUAAGGCACACACUGUGGUCCAAUCCAUUCAACUUUUUGAUAUAGAAAACCAAUAUCAAUCUACUGAUCGUAAAUUAAGAAAAAUUAAUGAAUACCAAAAACAACAAAUGAAAUAUCACUUGGUUCAAAACGUUCAUCUUCAUCACAUCUAAGUUAGGCAAACUAUUCAUUCUCUCAUUGCAAAUAUAUAGAUAUUGGCUAUAUUUCCUCUUCACAAAAACAUCCAUAGUUAUGUACAACAUUGUAAACAGAACCAAUUGCAACAAAGAUAUUAAACAAAAAGUCCAACCUGAGAACACAAUAUUACCAACUUAACUACAAAAACUUUUUAGGAGAAAACAGAACCCAACCAUUUCAACAAGAAAACAAGUCCAAAAAUCAAAUUCAUUUCUUCUCAAGACAAAGAUGUGGAUCACACAGUCUAAUGAUAGGAACCAGUCGUAGACAAAUUUUUUGAUUCUCUCGACAUGAAAUAACGAUCUGUGGUUCAAUCCAAUGAGUUAUUUAAGCAACACAAAUAUUGAUGUCCUGAAUGCAAGCAAGAACAAGUGUCAAAAACAACAAAUUAACUAACAUGUGGUCUAAAAGUUCAUCACUUGCUUUCCUUUAUGUAAGGCGAACAGUUAGGUACAUCUAGAAGCUUAAUUUGUCGACUAUAUUAAUAAGUCUAUUAUCUUAAUAAAAUUGCAAAGAGUAGGGGACUGCCACAAAUUAAGAGUUGCUAAAACUUCUAAAAAGACGUUGUUCAAAAUAAAUCCCUUUGCCCCAAGCUGUCAACUUUUGUUAAUAAAUUUGAGUACCUCAAAUCAAUUUAAAAGUUGACUCCUCUAUGAUUUAAAGAUUAUAUUUACUACAUAAUAUUAACUUUUAUUUUAUAGUUAUAUCUUUUUUUCACUCUCAAACACAUCUAUAAAUUUAGAUUUAGAGAUGUCAAAUACUAAAUUGUGCAAGGAAAGGAGGGCCUCAUGAUUUUGAUCACUUCAAAUACAUCCAAUAUAAUUUGAAGAACACACUAAUGUCCAAUGUGAAAUCAUUAGUCUGAAUUAUAUAGCAUAAGUGAGGAUUAUUUAUGGUUAUUUAUGAAAAUAUUAUACAGAAGGAGAGGGAAUCAAAAUCACUUUCACUCGGUGAAGGAUAUUUGUUGAGUAAAAAUAGGUGUGUUUAGAAGUGAGCGAGCUGCUUUGUGUAAUGUUAAUGGAGUACGCUUGACAUAGAGGGGUUUUCUAAAGAUUUUGAAGGGGCGUCAAAAGUCUCAGUCAACAAAAAGAGAAAAAGGAUUGGGCUUAGGCUUCUUUUGCGGCCCAAUGAUCAACCAAUUGAUAAGAGCCCGGUGUUAGCAGGCUUUACUUGUAAGGGCCUAUGACAAGUAAUAUUAAUAUAUUCAGAAAAUAGCUAAUAAAGCAUAUUAUUCACGUACUUUUUAAAUUACGAUUGACAAAAACAGGACGUCCAGUCGAUAAAUUCAUUUCAUUUCCACCAAUAUCCUCCGCUGUUUCCAGUGUCACGCUGGAACCGUUAUUUGUCGAUUACUUUACUUUCCAAAUUUCCACUUACCACUUAGGAGAAGCCAAUUAGCCAAGUCAGAACAGGACUCGUUUGGCUAGCGAGUGAUGACUCUGUCUCGGCGACUACUCAACUGUUUCCUCAACCUCUAAAACAAAAUCCAAAACGUCACACACUCGAACCCGGCCUUUCUCCAUUUCGAAUAAAAACAAAACCAAGCUCUCUGUUCACAAUUAUUUUUCUACGGAUUCUCCCUCCAAUUCCUCCCGCAUGAUCGCCGCCAAUUUUUCUCCAAUCCAGACAGCCCCCCCGAUCUCGAAUCUCAAUCGUCCGUUUAAUCUUCAAUUACUCUCCUCCUUUCUGUCGCGACGUAGGAAGAAAAUAAACGCCGCCGUUCUGAUUUCGGUGGAUCGAAGUGAGAUGGAUUGGAUUCGAAGAUUUAGUGUCGGCUGCUUCAGUUCGAAUAAAGACUUCAAAAUGGAGGCCGACAGCGGCGGCGUAGACGUUUUCAGUACCUCCGCCAAGCCUCCACCUGAGCAUCUUAUUAUUAUGGUUAAUGGACUCAUAGGCAGGUUAGUGGGCUAAUUAGUUAUUACGCUGCGUUUUGGUUUUUGAUCGUUUAAAAGCGCUUCCGAGUCAAAAGUGAUUUCUGUCAAAAGCACUUGGAUAGCUAGUUUUCAACGUCCUUAGAAAAGCGUAACAUAAACUCGUUUAAAUGCACUAGAAGUGCUUUUCUAUAGAGCAGCUAUCUAUUACUUUUCUAAAAUGCUAUUCAAUUUCUUUUUACUUCUACGAAUGUGAAAGUAACACAAAAGAACAAGCUUCUCUCUGUUUCAAGUGCUUUUGACAUCAAAAGUACUGCAAAAGCGCCCUAAUUCAACUGUUUUUUUUUUAAUAUGUGUAAUUAAUAUCGGUUUUGUUUUGCUACAUUAAUUGCACUUUCUCUAUGUUCAGUGCUGCAGAUUGGAGAUUUGCUGCAGAGCAGUUUGUGAAGAAGGUUCCUGAUAAAGUAAUUGUGCACCGUGAGUGCUCUCAAUGUCUCAGAUGAUUUUUACAGUGAUUUUUAAUAUUCAUUUUAAGUAUGACUGUCCUUUUAUUAUCGAUCUUUGAACAUGUUAAUGAAUAUUAAGUUCGUGCUCUAUUGAUUAUUAUAAAAAAUUAACUUGGAGUUGGAUGGGAAAAACAUGAAUUCAGUUAGGUUAUUUUAGGUUACUUGAUUAUAUGGUACCGUAUGAUAUAUUGAUAUUGGUGUUUAGUUAUAGUAUUACAAAUGUUUAAUGGUCAAAGAUCUAAUGUUUUUAGCAUUCAUAUUGUUUUUGAGUGAUAGCCAUCAAAUUUUAAACAUCAUUGGCUUUAUAAGUUCCUGAUAAAACGUAGAAAAGGAAACCAAAAUGGUGACACUGUUUUUGGGGUUGACGAUUGCUUUUGUCCAGAAGCCCCAAAAAGUGGAUGUGUAACUGCUUUGUUUCUCUGUUUAGCAUACAAUCUAUUCACAAUGCUGUAACAUAUGCAUGGGAACCAACAGCUCAAAUUGAAAUUUGACUAUCAUUGUAUCAUUAAAUUGAGAAAUUGGGCCGAAAUUGUCUAAACUUGAGCGUUUGAGAUAAAAAGCUUCAUUCUUUGAUAUACUUUUAUCAAACAAAUCAAAGAAUCAGCAAAAAAAAUACUUGGAAAGUAGUUUAAUUUGGGUUAAUAAGUAGAAGUUCUUUCUAUCACCGCCUCUUCAAAUUCUAGCAUAAGGUCAGUGACUUGGACAAAGCUAGAUUGAAGAGAAUUUGUUUAUUAGCAAAAUGAAUCUAGUUAUGCUUAUCGGGUCUUUGAUCAACUAAGUUAACAGCCAAUUUAAUUUCACUGCUGAACUUUUUAUGUUCAUUUGUCUGUGAAUGGUGCCAAAAUUUUGUGUAGCUCUACAUUCCGAUUUCUGAUAGUGAUUGUCUUAAUGGCUGCUGGCUGCAAUAGUCUGAUUUCUUUAUUGAGAAGUAAGCAUAAUAAUUAUUAUUGUUUAUACAUAUAUAUUGAGCAGGCAGUGAAUGCAACUCUUCAAAAUUGACAUUUGAUGGCGUAGAUUUAAUGGGUGAAAGGCUAGCUGCUGAGGUAUUCGGUAAUAACAGUUUGAUCUUUCAUCUGUAAUGCAUGCUUAAUUUGUUGAAAUCUUUUUGUCUAAAAAACUCAUGGAAAUUUUUAUUUAUGUAAUUAGUAAGUUCUACGUGCCUUACAAGAUAUUUCAUAUUCAUGUGAGUUUUGAGUUCCUGAUUAAUAUCUAAUGCAGGUACUGGCUGUAGUUAAACGUAGGCCUGAGGUGCAAAAGAUAUCGUUUGUGGCUCAUUCAUUAGGGGGUCUUAUUGCAAGAUAUGCAAUUGGUAGACUGUAUGAGCAUUCUCCAGAGCACCGUCCCAUAGGUAUUCCUAAGGUGGCAGGUAUUCCUACAAUUGCCACAACUGAAGAGCAUCGGAAUGAUUCCGUGCAAUCCCUUGAGCAUCCUUGCAAAGCUAGAAUUGCUGGAUUGGAACCCAUGAACUUCGUAACAUUUGCGACUCCUCAUCUUGGUUCGAAGGGACACAAACAGGUAGAUAUUGCAUGACCUUACAUGCUAUCUAUUUUGGAAUUCUGUGCUUGCUUUUCCUUUUUUGUUACAUUAAGGUUUUAAUUAUUGAUCGUAUAAUGAUGUUGGAAUUCUGGUUUGUCUAAGAUGCUUAAAACCAUGGGGGAAAGAGUUGUCAUUUUUUUAUCUUUUAGUUUAUAUUAUUGCCUCUGAAAUCAUCACUUUGUGACUUCUAGUGGUAUGACGGGUCAAGAAGUAGCACUACCUUGAAGGGUUUCCCAUUUUUGUUAUUCUAGUGCUGUAUCUUAAGUGCUUUUACGCGUGUUCAUGUUAGUGCUAUUUUAUUCUUUUGUAUCCAGGAAGAUGCAAUUCUAGAAAGCUGUUUUGACAUUUCUUUGUCUUGUUUUUCGGCCUCAGCUUCCAAUUCUGUGUGGUCUACCAUUUCUUGAGAGAAGAGCAUCCCAAACGGCUCACUUGGUUGCUGGGAGGACUGGGAAGCAUCUAUUCCUCAACGAUCGUGAUGAUGGAAAACCUCCCCUUCUCCUUCAAAUGGUUAAUGAUUCUGAUAAUUUAAAAUUCAUGUGAGUGUUAAUUAAUCUACAAUGCUUUCGUCAAUUUUUCUAUCAGUGCAUUUUAAUAAUUGCAUCACCUUUUGUGAUACGUAGAUCAGCUUUACGUGCAUUUAAGCGGCGAGUGGCAUAUGCAAAUGCCAAUUAUGAUCGUAUCCUUUUCACAUUGAUGUUGGCUUUCAAAUUAUCAGUAUUCUAUUUAUAUAAGGUGCUUAGUUUGCCUUUUAUGCAAGACUACGUUUUAUCUUCACUGUUCUUUAAGAUAUGGUUGGGUGGCGAACUUCAUCAAUCCGGCGUCAACAUGAACUUCCACCAAAGGUGUAGUUUCUUUUCAUUUUCUUAUCUGGUUUUCGUCUUUACUUGUCUGUUUGGUGAUACUUUCACUCUAAUAAAACCUGAACCUCAAUAUUUCCUUCUUGCUCGUUGGUUCAGUCCGAUCUUCUCAUAACUGAUGAGAGAUAUCCUCAUAUUGUACGCACUGAAUGGGAAACUAUGGACAACAUUAGAAAUAAAGCAUCUUCUGUUAUUGGAGACCAAUCAAUUGACUUGGAAGGUAUGUUAAAUUUAUAAAACAAGUACUGCAGAGUUUUUGGCAAAACCAUCAAAUCUUCAUGUGAAGGGGUCUAGGAAUUAUACUUAAAUGAUGUGCUUUGUUUUCUUAUAGAAUCCUUCAGGCUGGACAUUGCUUAACAUAUUUAAGAAUUAGUAUAAUACUCGGUAGAAGCAAUGCCUGAAUUUUCUUGCCAAUCUCUGCCCUUCGUAUAGCAUUUAGGCUAGUCUUGUUGAAAUCCUUUAAUGUCAAGAAGCAGAUUUUGUGAUGUAAUUUUCUACUGGUGUAGUCCUGACUGGCAUUGGUAUAUAUUCUGAUGAAUGAAUUUAACAUAAGUUUGCUUUGAACAAUGUAGUAGAAACUCUUCUUCACAGGGGUGAAUUGUAUUAAAUUUGUUACAACUGUUUUAAGGGAACAUUGCUGAAAAUAUUUUGGUUUUAAGUACCAUGAGUCCUAUUCCAUUUUCCUUUUUAAUAGCUGCUGCUAAAAUAAAGCAUCAGUUGGUUCAAUUUGAAGUUAUAUUACGGUGCUACAUCUUCUUUCCUUAUGUCCUCCAUUGUUUUACUAUAAUUACAUUCAAUCAUCAAUUUCGCUAUUAUAAUAUUUUAUCAUCACUUCACUCAUUGUUAACUUUUUCUUCAUGUAUCUUGCUUAAUGCGUUCUAUUUUUUUUACUGUUAAAUACUUAUUUUAAAAAUACAUAUUGUAGAGAAAAUGAUUAGAGGCCUCACUCAAGUACCUUGGGAACGUGUGGAUGUUAGCUUUCACAAAAGUAGGCAACGAUAUGUUGCUCACAAUACCAUUCAGGCAAGUUCUGCAGCUACUUGACUUUUCUACUACGUAUAUGCUGGUUAUUAUCAACAUUUUACAUUCUGAAAUUUUUUAUUUCUAUCUUUUAGAUUCCUCUAUUUUAAGUGAAUGGGACAAAGCUCCUAGAUGUAGAUAUCAAGGAAUUAGAUGAUAAUGUGCUAUUAUUUACAUAUCAUAUUAGCUGACAUUUCAACUUUCAUCAUAUAAUUGGCAAGUUACCACAACUUAUGUGGAAGUUUUAAAUAACGAACCUUCUGAGUGGGGUGUGUGUAAUUCUAAACAUGUUUGAUAGUUCAGAUGCAGUUAAUAUUUGUCUUGUGCCUCAUUUACUAUAAGGACAUUCUGGGUUUUGUUUUGUCUGUGAGGCAGCAAGGUUAUCUGAGAGAAGGGGUGAAGAUCUAUAAAAUGCAAUGAUGAAAAAUUUUUUUCGGCAAUCAUAUAUCUUUCUUUUAAAAGGAGGAAAAAAAAAGAUUCUUCUUUUCAUUAAAACUCAUAAAAUCAAGGAAUAAUCAUACGUGAGCAUAUUUUCAAGUAACCCCACCGUUUAACUAUUAUAAAGUUUCUAUUGGAUUUCUAUGGAUUAAUUACAAAAUUUGAGGAACUUGCUACACAUCCUAGCUGGCAUACAUGCCACAAGUGAGACAUGUUACAACAAACAGAUGACUUGCAACUAGAGUUUUACAAGCUCAUGUUACAGAUCUUCAUUAGUUAUCAGAAGUCACUAGCGAUAGUGCUCUAUCUGUGGGCAUGAUACCGGCCUGACACUAGAGACUCGGGCAAAGUUUAGCAAUUUAAUAUAAAAAUAUUUACAAGGAAAAGUUUGGUAUUUUAAUAUAGAAAAUAAUUACUAGGUUUUGUAUUUCAACAUUUCUAAGUUUGUGCUUCUAACACAAGGAAAGAGGGUCUGAGAAUUAAUGAACAGUUGAAAAGAAGAGUUGAAUCUCAACACAGUUUUAGUUAAGUUAAAAAAAAAAGUUAAAACGAUUAACUUUUAUACAAUUAGCUGUUGGAAAAUGAAUGAAUACUGUUCUCUAGUUGAUGAUAAUCAUGGUGAUUGGUUUACACGUAUCAUUUUAAGAAUAAUUUAAUGCGUUUUGGUUGUGAUACUUUAUUUAUAAUACUCUAUACAAAGUUGUUUUCUGGAAAUUAACGGUCACUGAUUUAAUGCUAGAUCUAAUUGUGUGGGUCUCAUUUCUGUAAUUUUACAUGUGCAUUCAGGUGAAGAGUUAUUGGAUGAAUUCUGAUGGUACAGAUGUGGUCUUCCAUAUGAUAGAUAACUUCCUUCUCUAGAUGUUUACAAGUUGGGAGCCUUGUACCGGUGUAUUUGGUGGGUUAAGUUACUUCAUUGUUGGUGUAAAAUGUGGGUUGUCGAUCAUGAAGACAUUGCUCUGUAUAUUACUUUGUGUCAGCCAAGUGAAGUUAAUGAUACUGCAGAGUUGUUGCUUACCAUGUUUUAUUUUUUGUUGGCAUAUUUUAUGUAUAUUAUACGGUUUUUCAGCUAUAUAAUGGAACUAUUUUCCUUACAAAUAGCUCUUAGUGAUUGCUUUGGGUUAAUUUUCACAUAUAGUGCAGAUAUACUGAUGUGCUGCUGAACUAUAUGUGGUGUUCUCUGGUCAUGAAACUUCACUAAUUUCAUGCUGAAUGAGUCAAAUCAUACCAUUUUUCACAAUCUAAUUUAGUAUAAUUUAAUCACCAAUUUGAUUGUUACUGACCACUCCGCCGACUAGUUGUGGAAAAGAAAUCAUUACGCAGAUAUGGGUAAAAUGAGACAGAUUUUGUAAUUUCUUUAUGUUUCCUUCUUUUUUCAGUGAACAAAUUUUCAUCUCUAAUGUAUAUUUUGGAAAAACGAAGAUAAAAGGAAUGACUAGAAAUAAAUAUCAAUGAGCUUUGUUUUCUGAACACCAGAGUUUUUAUGAUUAGCCUUAGCAAUAGGCAGAGUACUCUACUUGAAAGUACCAUUUCUAUUACUAUUUGCUUUCGAAUUUCUUUGAGAAUCUCUCAGGAACUGGGCAAAGGUAUGUUGAGACAAGCACCCCCAAUGAUGAUUAUUAGGAGGCUGCAGUUACUUUUAUGCUAUACUAACGUUGCAAACUAGAUUUAGGAUUUACUGUUCUAUUUUCUGGGUACUCUUGCUAAUGAUGCUGGCUUCCUCUGGAACUUGCGUUUGAAGUGGCGCAUCUGAUUGCGCAGUCAACGGGCUUGAUAGACUUUUGCAGAACUAAUAAUCAUUUUAUUUGUCUCAAUACAUAUUAGUUUACGAACAAAUUCAACUGCAAGAAAGUUUAUCAUACCUCUUUGUACACCUUAAGCUUCCCUACAGAUUUUGAUAUUUCUACGACACAAUUAGUUGGAGGCACCUUAAUAACCUGACAUAGACAGAUAAUACGGUGAGGGUUUUUGGUUGCCGGAAGACGAGCAUUAACAAUUCAUAGUUAUUACAUAAAAAUCAUAAGACAAGCAUUAACAAUUCAUAGUUAUUACAUAAAAAUCAUUAGUGGCUGGGGAAUAAAAUAAUCCAGUUUUAGUGCAAAGCGAGAAUGAAAGGAGAUAUUACCUUGAAGUUGUUCGUCUUUUCUUCUGACAAGCUCACAUCCAUUGCUGCAGCUUCUAAUUUCUUUAUGGUUUCAUUGCUUGGAAGCUUGGAUCAUUGAAAUUUUGCAGAACCAAGGAAGGUCAAACAAAGAUUAGUUCUGAUUUUAUUUACUUGCCCGUCCUUCAAAGAGACCUGAUAAAUCUAGGUCAUGUGAAUUGCAAUCAAUUGAAAAGCAUUGAUAAAACUUGGUGAUUUGGUUGUCUUUGACGCUGCUCCAUUUUCCUACAUAGACUUUCAUAUAUGAAGUUAUGAAACACUGUAUCUUGGAACUACCUAAAGCUCUUACUUCCAUUGAUUCAAAAGCAGAAUUAACAUCAUCCAAGUAUAUUUUCUCGUCACAUUCAUAUCUGCAGGACUGUUUGUAAUCUGUUUGAGACCAUGUAUCCUCUGUGAUCCCUAGAUUGCAAUUCGCUGUUGUGUUCCAAGGAAGAAAUUAUUUAGUUGGUCAAUUUGAGUUUAUAUAUGCAUAGGAUGUUUUGGAUUUGUACCCUGAUUGGACUUGGAUCAAGUAUCCCUGGGAUUAGCUGCUUCUGACUUUCCGUUAACCAAUGUGAAAAUUUGUAAUCUGCUUGAUCUAUCUGUUUAUUAAACAUCGAUCAGCAGUCUGCGGAGGUAAGUGUUUUGGAUGAAGAACUAGUUAUAUGCUGUAUACAAAGCAUACCUCUGUAUAGAACCAUCAAAUUACGAUCAUCAAAUGGUAGAUAACCAGCAAGUAGUUUCAUAAACGAUUACUCCACAGGACCAAACAUCUGUGGCAGCUCCUUUAUAGCCCUUGCGUGCCAGCAACUGUUUGCCAGAAGAUGAACCAUCAGCCAUAAUGUUGAAAAGGAAAUCCAGGUAUGAUUGACCAUCUGUUCGCUUUUGUCUUCAAGCUUCUGAAUUUAGCAAAAUAAAACUUGGGAGGAUACUACUAGCUACGAAAAUGAAAGAAGAACUUCUUAUCUCUGGUGCCACAUAGCAUGGAGAGCCACAAGCUGUUGUUGACACGUCUCCAGGUUGUUGUAAAUUACAAUUUCAGUCAGCCGUUUUGUUAGAUUUAGGAAAUUACAAAAAUUGUCGUUAGAUUUUGCCAUGCACUUAGUCCGAAAUCAGAUUCUUUGAGACUAUCCAAGAGCAAGUUUUGUGGCUGCAGAAAGACAUCAAGAUCAUUAACUAGUUUGUACAGAGAAUUGACUGUUCGAUAGAAGGUUGUCUAUAUGGACCUUCAGACCGUGAUAAACUCCUGUGUUAUGGCAAUAGUAGUCAACUGAAUCAAUCAAUCAAUUGUUGAAGGAGCUUUCUUGCCUCUGCUUCUCAGGGUUUCUUGACACAUGACUGAGUAAGAAUGGUUGAAGAUUAAAAUUUUCGAUUAAAAGCUUUCAGGAACAUAAUCUGUGAAUCCCAAAUGCAAUAAGAUGAAUCUUACCGAUUUGUUUGAGAGUUGUCCCCCUGCAUACAUAUACAUAUUUUAGACAAAAAAACAAACGUUGCCUUAAUUUUACUUAUAGUUGCUGUGAGUAGUAUACACAUUUGAAAUCAUAGGAUAUAUCUUUUUAAUAAAAUCCGUUUAUUACUUUUUAGAUGAUAGGCUAUUAGAAAUUCUAUAUAUAAGUAGUUACACGCACGUACACAAACUUUUCCUUGUUUAAUGCUUUAGUUUAUGGGUUUAAAGUAAUUACCAUAGCGUAGGAUUAUUUUUGAAAUCUAAAUGAGUUUUAAGUCACUUCAAAAAUAAAAAGAAUAUCUUUCACAAAUGCUUGUGUUGAAGUGAAUUUUGUGAACAUGGUUUUAUUUGUUUUUCCCACGGAAAGGGAAAGAGACAUCAAAUUAGGAGGAUAGUUUCGAUGCCAUGAAUGGUCCUAACAAGGACGGUUCGAUUUGGUGGGCAGAUGAGUUUUAUUCAAAAUCAGCAUCCUCAAAUCCUUGGGACUCUACGCCUGCUGUUCAUCAGUCUGAAGGGAAGUUUCAAGAUUAUGAAUUAAGGUUAAAAAAUUAUGUAAUAUUUAGACCUCGGAAUAACAACGUGUUAUUGUUAUAUUCUAAGUUUAUUGCCAUUUAUGAUUUAAUGUGUGUGACAAAAGUUGAUGCUUUAUCUCGCUAAAUUCAUGGCUUCAAACGAAAACUAGUUUUCAAAACCAAAAAUUUUGUGGCUUCCGUUUAAUGCAAAUUACUAAGAGUAACUGUAUGUUAUGCUUAAUUAGAAAUAAGAGAAAGUAUUUAUUUGAAUUUUUAAUUUGUAUUAAAUUAUUUAAGUAAUUCCAAUUAAAAAAUAAGUUUUAUGAGGAACUUCGAAGACUAUCAGAAGGCCAACUCAAGAUAAAAAUAAACAAUAUGGGCUAUAACGAAGCCUGUUGGGUCGCAUUAUCAGUUGUCCAAUAAUGAAAGAAAGAUCAAGAAAGCUCAUCUUUUAGUCAGCCCAAAGCCGAAUAACUCAUGAAAUUGCUAAAACAAACGACCGAACGGGAAGUAGUAAUAAAUUAAGGCCAUGCCUAUGCUUCCGUCUUUGAUUGCGCCACCGCCGUUUCAAAUCUGAUUUAUUCAACACUCGAGAUGCCAUGCCACCUCAUAUUUUCUUUAUUUUUAUAAUUCCGAAAAUCUCGAAUCUCUGGAUAGAAAUUAGAAAACUUGAGUCGAGUCUGCACCACGUCACCUAUUAUUAUUAUUAUUAUUUAUUUUUUUCUGUUUGAGAAGACGUCACGCACUAAAUUAACUUAAAAAGAGUCUCACUACCAACAAAAUCACACGCCGGGGUUAACUCAAAACCGUUGAAUUAGCAAUGUCCAUCAAAACUAUCAGGGGUUACAUGACUAGCUCAUAGCUAGGCAAUCCGAUAACUUCUCCCUUUUUGUUAUCCUGUUACGAUAACAGCGUAUCCUAAUCCCGAAAGAUCCUUAUCUAAAAUAAACACGAUUUUAUAUGUGGAAUGACAAAAAAGUCCCCUUUUAGGACCGCGAUGUUGUCUCAAAACUUGGGAUAAACCAGUAAAUUGAUAUUUUAAAGGAUUCACUGCAGAAGUAAAACACGUGUAAAUAGAUACCUGAAUACCGUCCUAAUCUUCAAUUCUAAAAUAUAUAAUUCCAAAUAAGCUCUGAUUGUGUAUGUCUAUUUAUUUAUAAAUAUUUUACUCUUCCAGCUUGUUUGGUUCGUAUCAUCAAUUUCAGUUACGCACUUCAAUCUGUAAGUCUCUCCGUAUCUCACUCCCUUUGAUGAUUAAUGACCUUUUUUUUUUUAAUUGGAUAAGCUUCAAGCUUCUGCUUUUCGUGACAAUUGUAGUAGUCUUUUUUUUUUUUAAUUGGAUAUAAUUCAAGCUUCAACUUUUCCUGACAGUUUCAGUAGUCUUUUGUUGUUCAUUAUUUAUUGUGGGAUAAGUGGUAAUUGAUUUUAUUCUGUUUGUUGAACGUUGAUGAUGGGCACUUUUUAAGUUCUUUAUAUAACAUUUUAAUUAUAUUUGAUGAUUGAUGAUGAUGAUGAUGAUGAUUAUGCGUCAUUGUGUGUGCCAGAGUUUCAACUUGCAUGAGAGAAAACGAAUGAUGGAAGCUCAGAAGAUUUUGCUGCUGCUGUUUUGUUUGAACUUGGUCUCAUCUCUUGUGGUAAAGAAUCAAACUCUUUGUGUAAUUAUAGUGUCAAAAUGCAUUUGAAUUGUCACGCAUGGAAACUGUGUUUAUUUUGUAGUGUUUGCUUUGGAUAAGUAAUUUUUUUUUUUUUUUAAUCUGAGGAAACGUGUGAGGUCUUCUUUAAAGAAAAAGGAAUGAAAGAAGAGGACUUGAGAGUAUAGCACUUGAUAAGUGCUUCUCUGAAAAUUGAUUCUUGCAGAAAGCUCUUGUUAUGAUGUAUUGGUAUUACCCUUAAACUAUGAAUUUAUUUGAUUACUGAGCUGGUUUUACAUUGUGCAGAUUGCUGGUGCCCCACCAACUUGUGCUGCUAAUCUUGAUAGCAAAUGUGCUGACUCGGAUGAAUGGAAAGGGGAGUUCUUCCCUGGAAUUCCCAAAAUUAAGUAUGAGGUAAAUUCGCUUAUGAUUUUUUUUUUUUUUUUUAGCAACUAGAUUAUAGUUUCAGUAUUGUGGUUAUGGUCUCCCGACUGUGGAUAUUUAUAGUUCUUUUAUUUGAUAUUUUUCAGGGUCCAUCCAGCAAAGACCAUCUAGCAUUCAAAUGGUAUAAUCCUGAAGAAGUGAUUCUUGGGAAGAAAAUGAAGGUUGGUUUCUUUUGUUAAUUUAACUUUGCUUUAUUGAGUAGCUUGUGUUUGCUGACAAAGUAAUUAAUGACCACAGGACUGGAUGAGAUUCAGUGUUGCAUUUUGGCACACAUUCCGUGGAACAGGAUCUGACCCUUUUGGUGUGCCUACAAAAUCAUGGCCGUGGGAAGACGGUACCAAUUCAAUGGCCAUGGCCAAAAGAAGAAGUAAGAUUGAUAAAUGCUCUUAUGAAGUAUACUUAAUUUGCAUUAAUGGGCAAGAAUUGAAAAAGUAAUUGAUGUCCCAUCUUUUGCUGCAUAUUACAGUGAGAGCCAACUUUGAGUUCAUAGACAAGCUUGGAGUUGAUUUUUGGUGUUUCCACGACAGGGAUAUAGCCCCUGAUGGCGAAACUCUCAAGGUGGGUAAUUUUUAUAUAAUUAAGUUAUCCUGUCUAUUGCUUUAAUUUGUCAUCUUUAGGGAAGGAUUCUUAACAUAUUUAAGUUCUUUGGCUAGUGUUAUUCUUAAUUGCAGAUGUACUUUUCAGACUUUACUAUUGUAUAUUUUCUAACGUUUCUGAUUCCUGAUUAUUGUUUAUUUCAUAAUCCUGCUCACUGAACUAGGUAAUGGGGUGUUAAAUGUGUAACAGGAAGCUAAUGCAAACUUGGAUGAAGUGGUGGCCCUUGCAAAAGAGCUUCAGGUGAGUUUGUUAAUAUUAAUGUCAAACGGUCAUGUGAGUUUACUCAAAUCUUCAUAGUUAAUCAUGGUUGAGUGAAGCAGAGAUACCAUCUCUUGUCUUCAUAAGAUAUCCUUGAAGGCUUCACAAAUUUACUUCCGGUAUUGCGUUUCUUCGUUUUAGCAGUCUGAUAUAACUCACCAAUAAUGCCUCUUCUUUAACAUUUUUCUACGAGAAUCUGCAGGGAACUAAGGUCCGUCCAUUGUGGGGUACUGCUCAGUUAUUUUCACAUCCUCGAUAUAUGCAUGGUGCUGCAACUAGGUAUUGUUUGUUUGUUUUUUGUGUGUGUGUGUGUGUGUAUGCAACUGGGUGCUUGAUUUUUUGUUGUAACUUUUAUUUUACAUUGACUGGAGUUGAUUAGUCCCUUUAUUAACUGGGUCCUUUUUUAAACUUGCUUUACAGCUCUGAAGUGGCUGUAUAUGCUUAUGCUGCUGCUCAAGUCAAGAAAGCCAUGGAGGUGGGUUACCUUGUGUGCACAGUUAUGUCAUGCAAGUUACGACUAAAAUAGUAUCAUCUCUGGUGGUUUUGACCAUUUUCAUUCACAAAUUCCAUAGGUCACUCAUUAUUUAGGGGGAGAAAAUUAUGUAUUUUGGGGUGGCCGUGAAGGCUAUCAGUCUCUCCUGAACACAGACAUGGGAAGAGAGAUUGAUCACAUGGUAUGCUUAUCAAACAAUAUCCUUUUUAGCUUAAUGCUUUUCUCUCGUUAUUUUGCGUUUGGUCCAUCUCUUCUUCAGUAAUUAGGCUUCACUAUUUUAAGUGUUCUGUUUCCAGUUAUAUUUUUUGAUUCAUUGUAUUCUUUUUUGAAUUGAGACUGAGUUUACCCAUUCACAGGCAAAAUUUUUUGAAUCUGCUGCCGCGUACAAGAAGAAGAUUGGAUUCAAAGGUAUUUUCAUUCACCUAUACGUUGCAAUGAAUUUGUGCAUUACUUGAGGACAUAAAGGAGAUACCUAAUUGUUGGUGCACAUUUUGUUAAUGACCUAUUUUUUAUUGGUGACUUUCUGUUUUCUUCUUAAUUUUGUCUUUUGCACUUGAUCAGUAUUUAACUAGGAACAAAUUUUUUCUUUCCCCCACUUUUUGGUUGGAAUCUUUCUUUUUCUUUUUUUAUUGAUUUCUUUACUGCGCCAAAAUUCUAUUAAGGACCUAUCUUUCACUUCAAUGAUUUUUCAGGGAAUCUGUUGAUCGAACCAAAGCCUCAAGAACCUACCAAACACCAGUAUGCUUCUUGACUUGUUUAGUGGUUAGCUAAUUUGGCAUAUGAUCCCCUUAUUCUCACACAUGAAGAUAACUUGUAGGUAUGACUGGGAUGCAGCAACAGCAGCUAAUUUCUUGCGGAAAUAUGGCCUCAUAAGUAAAAUCGCAUUUCUCUUUUUUGAUACAUUAUGUCAUUAUGCUAAUGUUUGAAUGUAAGUUACAUCUAUGCAUAAUUUUUCUCAAUUAUUUUGUAGAUGACUUUAAACUAAACAUUGAGUGUAACCAUGCCACCCUAUCUGGUCACAGGUAUGUCAUAAGUCUGGUAUCUCAAGUUCUAAUGCUUGCCCAUACUAUUUUCCCCAGUGCUUAUUUGGCAUUCUUUAAAAACUUGUUCACUUUUCAGCUGCCAUCAUGAUAUUGAAACUGCAAGACUCAAUGGUCUGCUAGGAAACAUUGAUGCAAACACUGGUGACCCUCAAGUUGGUAAGUUGGAUGCUUUAAUGCUUUUGGCAUUUUCUAUUUUUUGCUGAUUUUUUAUCAAAAUUUACAAACUCUACCUUAAGAUGUUCUGAGACUUUAGGUUGUAAUGUAGAGCCGUUGCCUAUCUUACAGGUUGGGAUACAGAUCAAUUCCUGACAGAUAUUGGAGAGGCUACUUUGAUUAUGCUCAGUGUGAUUAAAAAUGUAUGUAAUAAAUGCAAUUUUCUAACUCACCAGAGCAGUUUGAGAUUCUACGAGCUGGGACUUACACAGUGAAUUUUACCAUUUUAUCACAGGGAGGUUUGGCACCUGGAGGAUUCAACUUUGAUGCAAAAUUGUAAGCGUUUUCUUCCAUUAACAAUUCUUUUACAUGAACUUGUUUGCAUGCCCAUACACAUGAUAUUUUAUGAUGGAUAUUAAAGUGUAUCUUAGUUCUGGUUUGCUCCAUAGCUUUGCAUGUGGAUUAUCAUGUUCUAAAUUAUUAUUGUAUGAUCCAAUGUCUUUACCUUUUCACCUCCUCCUAAUAUUACCAACAUUAAUUCUUCAUAAUAUUUUAGACGAAGAGAGAGCACUGACGUUGAAGACUUGUUCAUUGCUCAUAUUGUUGGAAUGGAUACCGUUGCUCGUGGACUUCGAACUGCUGCCAAGCUGAUUGAGGUGAUAUAUUAUUUUUCUUUUUCACUUGUCUAAUAGUCCAUCCUAUUUGAUAAUGAUAAUUUUUUUUUUAAUCUGUGAUGUGAUACUGAGUUGACUUCUUUUUGUCAUUGAAUAAAGGAUGGUUCUCUACCGGAGCUCGUCCGCAAGCGAUACCAGAGCUUUGACUCAGAGAUUGGGCAAAAAAUAGAGGUUAUACUGCCUUCCUAUUAUCUUUGACAUCUUUUACUUUUUUGAGUUUAUACACAGUCUUGCAUCUUAUCACAGGCUGGUAAGGCUGAUUUUGAAAUGCUUGAGAAGAAGGCCAUGGAAUGGGGAGAACCCAAGGUUCCCUCUGCUAAGCAGGUAAUUCAUAACUUCCUUUCUCCAAAUUAUCCGGCUAGCCACUAUUUUGUUGUAAUAGGUAGUUGAACAUCCAUUAGCGCAAAACUGGCCUUAUACACAAAAGUAUUAGAUUCAAGAAUGCAGCAAUUAGAUUUUUUCUUCAGGGAAUAGAAUUGAAAAAGAGUUAGAACGAACAUACGAAUGUAUGCUAAUCUUGUCCCUUUCUGCGAAUUGUGGUACUAGUUUCUAGCAUUAAAAAAGGCCUGAAAUGAAGUAAACGCUACUGCACAUUUGAAUGAUCGAUCAAACUAAAUCUCACUCUUCCAAUUGUAAUUUUGCUUCCCCAAGAUGAUCCUGUUACUAGACUCAACCCAUCUAUCUGUAAAUUUUAAUUGUUAUUUGUUUAGCAAAUGCAAUGGGACCGCAGCCUUCUCAAGACUUAGUUCCUGGUUCGAGUCUCAUGUAGUGUGUGCGUGUUAAGCAAAUGCAGUUAGUUUGAAUCUAAAGGAGAAUUGUGUGCAAUGUUGCAGGAACUUGCGGAAAUGAUCUUCCAAUCUGCAAUAUAGAUAGCGGCUGCUCUGAAGCAGAACUUACAAAUAAAGAGGGGGGCAAAUUGAAGUUAUGUUUAUAGGCGGUCUGUGUCCAGUCAGUGAACGCUUUUGGGGAAAUGGGUCUUUUCAUGUGGGGAAAUUUUGACAUGUUUGUCUAGCUUAGGCUUUAUAAAGAACUUGUUUAGUUAUCGAUAUGACAGCUGUUAUAAAACUUGAAUCCUAAGAUCUUGAAAUUUUUUAUCAAUAACAUUGCUUUAAUAAUGAUCGAAGGUGCUUAAAAUUUUUUAGUCUGAAUUAUGGUACGGAUUCAAAUGUGUCUCCCAUAGUUAAGGUUCUCUUAAGGUAUCUCGUGGUUAAGAUAAAAAAAAAAUAAUAAUAAUAAUGAUCGAAGUUCAAUUUGAAAUCUGACCAAUGGUCCAAGUCGUCACUCGAGGCUUCGCGUCCACUGGAAAAUUAGUGCACAUUCUUUCUUUUGACACGUCCUCGUGCCAAAAUUUUAUAUCUCAGCUACACAUUAACGAUAAUGCCCAGUGUCCCACUAAAAGCUAAAAUAAGCAGUACAAAAUUUUCAGAACAAAGAGCAGCACAAACCCAAGAAUGAGAUUGAAUCUCCCAAGCAUUAUCUCUCUAAUAAUUCUAGCCCUCCCUUGGCUUCAAUUUUGUGAAACAGUCCCAGUUCCAACGCCGUGGCCCGAGAGAUUCCAUGCGCUUACUUACAAGAACUUGAGCUCAGAUGGUCUUCAAAUCGCAGACCAAUGGUACGACUGGCCACGAGGUCGCAACGUAUACAUAAUACAAAAACAACUGAGUGACUUGCUGUAUAAUGUUGAGUGGAACAAUGGCACUUCAUUUUACUACACCCUGGGAGAAAAUGGAACCUGUGAUGUCGUGCACUACGGUAUCGGAAUUCCCAGGCCUGAUUUUCUUGAUGAAGCUACUUAUUUGGGAACUCGGUUUACUGAUGGCUUUUUGUGCAAUCUUUGGGAAAAGCUGGAUUUUAUUUGGUAUUAUGAAGAUGUUCAAACCAAGAAGCCUGUCCGCUGGGACUUUUCUGAUGGUAAGUUAAUCUUCCCCACCCUUUCUUAGAUCAAAAUCUCAUUAUUUGAUGAGUUUUAGGUAUGACCGUUAUAUCAUGUUAGCUAUACAUUCAUUGAAUAAAAUUUUAUGACAUGUACAUUUAAGUUGAUACAAAUCGAUUUAUAUGAGUAGUUAUAAUAAAUGAGAGAGAAAUUAGAGCACAUGGUACCAAGUAGAUGGACAUGUUAAUUUGGAACAUUGUACCUAAGACUUAUAUCAUGAUUAGUAUGAUGUUUUAUUUGCAGGCAUAUCUGUACACGUGAUGACAUUUGAAGUUGGUGCUGUUUUGCACGAUCCAUUAAUUCAAGCGCCUUCAUACUGCUUCAACCAGGACACAUACGCUAAAGGCUAAAGCCUUUGGCAACAACUGGUGGUAAGAGCUUUUUUUUAAAAAAAAAAAAUUAUAAUUCGGUGAAGUGGGUAAGCACUUUUAGUUAAAAGCACUUAAAGCGCUUACUCUUAUCAAUAUUUAUUGCACUUGUGAACUUUAUUUUCGGCAGCACAUAACAUGACACCAUCUGCUUCACUCAUAAUUAAAAGGCAGCCUUAUUCUUAUUAUUUUAUGAUGCCGCUACAAACUAGAUAUGUUCAAAUCUGCUUAGGGGCAGGAAGUGCUCUGAUUGAUCAUCUUUGGGAUUAACUCUAAGCAUCAGGACAUAUCUGCCUGAAAAUCCUGGAGAAAUUUGUUGGGCCUUAAUUCUCAGAAUUGCAGCAAUACCGAUCAGUCUUCAAAACAGUGCAUGAAUUGUUGCACCCAUCUGAGGCCUUGAUUUCAACUGGGCAGUCUCCAUUAAUUGUUAAACUAUUGAAAAAAUAAUGCUAGAGCUCUCAAGUAGUAUAUCAGGACAUACAUAUAUUCCAUGUAUUUUUUUAAUGUGGCGACGUAAACCAUAGUACUGCUACUGUUAAUUUGAUAUUCUUAUGUAAAUGAAAAGAAUAUAUUCAUAUUUGGAGCAUCACUGUCCAAUAAUGUUUCAUGGAGGCAAAAGUUUAAAAAAUAAAAUAAAUUAAACCCUUUCUUUUAUAAAUUAGCUAUUUCUUUUUUUUCUUUUUUUGUCAAUUUCCUUAUAAUGUUGUUAAGUAUACCUAAAUGAGUUUUCAUUUUUUGAAGAAAAAUCACUUAGAAGAAUUGAUAUCCCCGAUGUUAAGUGCAACAAAUUGAGUUCUCUUGUGAAAAAGACUCACUAAAUGUAACGUAGCAAUUAACCCCAAAUAAUUUUGCUGGGGUCUUAGGUCCACCUCCUAAGAUUGACCAAAUAGGUAAUGACAUUGCCCCUCCUCUUAUCAAGAGACGGUCUAACCAAGAAGCACGGGCUCGUUGUGAAAAAGGGUUGUAUUAUUAUUGCGAUGACAAAUUUAUUCCUGGCCACUGUUGUUACAAGCUGCAGCUAUUCAUGAUUGAAGAUCAUGUGCCGUUCGCACAAUUCGAUAUUGGUUAGAAGGAUAGGUGCAGUGGUCGAGGAUGCUAAUUGGAAAAGUUGGCAAUUCUCCAAGUCUCAUCCUGACUUUGACCAUGAAAAAAAGGUGAUUCUAAAGGGUGGGGAAUGAUAUGUGCUUAAUAUGCAUGGCCAUUACGUGCAUGGUUUGCAAGCAGAAAUGGAAGACUUGUUCAAGUUGGUUAGAAUUCUAUUAGUUGGUGAUCUUAGUGGGUUCGGUUGGAUAAGCUUUGGUUGCUGAUUUUCAGCAGGAGUCUAGUCAUGUUCCAGAUUAUUUGCCAUUGUUGUUCUAUUUCUUAGCUUAGUGUGUGUAAAGUUCAAAGGCUAUAUAUGUGCAUAUGGAAUGAUUAGAAGGGAGAAAAAUGGAAAUUAAAGAUUACUGCAUUAUUCCUUCUUUCUUUCUUUUUAAAUCUCAGUUUCACUUCUUGGGUACAAAUUCUACAUCUCCAGC